CCGGCGGUGGCGAGGUGAGAGAAUUCCUGGAUAUCGUGUCCCCCGGAAGUUUGGGGGCCUCUGACACCGUCUCGAAGAAUAACGUAGCCGGACGUCGAUACUUUAGCAGCACGUAUAUGUGGGUACCCACUGCAUUCGGAUAUUCGUAGGUUUGAACAACGAUAAUUCGAGGGAACAAAGAUCGCCCUCAGACGCUACGAAGCGUGCGGUGAGGCGAGAGACGAGAGCUAUAUGGUCGCAGGCUGCAGGGUACUUUGAGGGCGUCCCUGAAUUCCGGGCAACUUUUACGAAUUCCUCAGCCAAACAAUACACGUACGUACGUACGUAGGUAUGUACGACGUACAUCGCUGCUGCAGUGCGGUAUGUAUAUAUACCUAUAACACGCGCGAUAUGACAAAAAGAAUUAAAUACAUUUAUCCGUAUGUUUAAUUCCUUCCAUUUUAUGGAUAGGUGUAUAAUUAUCAUUCGUAUAGAUUUAUUUCCUCUAGGUAAGAACACGAACACCGCGCCUACGUCCACCUAUGUAUAAGUGUCAGUUGCACGGGAUAUCGUUUACGUUUUAUCCCAGUCAAACGAAUCGUGACUCUGAUAUCAUGGAAGUAUCUCAACUCCGCACGUAUUUUGUACACGGUAAAUCCUUCAAGGGUCUGAAGAUGUGAGAACAACUUUUCAACUAUCCGGGGCGUCGUCACCUUGACUCACAAAUCGGAUUGCAUCGAUAAAAGAGAACUUAAGAUCGUUAAAAGGACUAUAUUAGAUAUUACAGCAAUCACACUUAUAUAAGCGUAAAAUGAAUUGAAAAAGGAAUUCAAGAAGUAGGAACAAGGAAACGAAUGGACGUGAUAUAUAUCAUAUUACAAUAACAUGAGAAAUAAAAUGAAAUAAUUCAUCUCUACUUCGAACUUCAAAGGUUGGAAAACGAUCAGUCUCUCGCCCACACGAAUUCGCACACGCACCGUGUCAUGGGUGUAAGGCAGCUGUUCGCUGCAAGGCAAAGACGGAGAGAGGAACUUCUGUAAUCGGUUGAAUAAUCACGAAGACGGUGCGAAUAGCACGAAACCUACGCCAUACAUCGUCCCGACUGCUGCUGCAAAACCAAUCUUUUUGCGUUCCUCACCUUUGUGUGGGUUGCUUAUACAGUCCACGGUAUAGUGAACUAUAUGAACCUGAUAUGAACAUCCGGAGCUAAUCCAGCUAUAGUCAUUGCCGAUUUCAGUCUCGAUCGGCUUAUACGUACGUAUACACGCCGUCUGCCGAUGCAGAUGACGACGUUCGCGAUUGUCCGUGUAUAUAUUUUUCGCCUACGAUCAUUCGUUUUUAUUUAGUUUUUUUUCUUUUUUUCUUUUUUUCUUCUUCUCCUUUAUCAGCUCUGUAACCCUUGCUUUACGACGAUCCACGGCCAGGGACAAAAUAUCCAUAUAUUCUAGUCUUUGAAGUUUUUUUUUGGUUUUCAAUUCUCUUUUCUUAUUUUCCGGUACCCGUUGAUAUAUGCGUCAUAACAGUGACGUUGAACACGACAACUAUACGAUGCGUAUUAACGUACGGCCUGCACAUAUGUAUUUAUACGUACGUAGGGUAAGUAUAUACUUAUAUACACGGUGCCACCAUAUCCCUGUACUCUACGAUCGUAAUAAACCUUGGGAAAAAUGAGCGAGAGAACCGACAAGGCCAGGAUCACCAUGUCCGACCAGUUGGUAGUGCACAGAUACUGAACUCUAUACUCGGAUACUCCGGACUUUCAACCACACCCAGACCUAUCCCACUACUCCAGGAUGCCCGAAGAUCCGGUACCAUCCGCAAAGGACACCAAGGAUCGUAAAUAUCCUGAGGUUAAUACACAGGAUAAAACCGGGGGCGAGAUAUGCGAAGUCCUGCAGUUUACCUGCUCGUUAUAAUGCAAUAUAUACUUCUCGACCACACCCCCCGGCGAUACGAAAAUAAGGAAUUUGUACGCAUGAUAAGGACAUGACUCGAUGUUUCUAAAGGAUAUGCCAUUUAAUUAUUGAAUUUUAUUUACAUACUUGUGUGAAACUAAAACGUCGUUUUAUUAUACAAUGUACAAGGUGUGCAAUUCGGUUCGGUACGCAAAAAUACGAUAUCUGUAGCACAAGGUUCGUACUUAUCUCUGACUGAUAUUCUUUCGGAUCCAUAUUCAUGAUGACGCGGGACAUCGACCGUUUUUAGAUACUUCAGAUAUUAUAAAGGAUAAAACUCUCGCUCGGCUCGUUGAGAAUGAAAAAUAAAACUAGGUCGUUCAUCCCGCGGUAAUUACGAUCCUCAACCGAUAGUUUUUCAUUCAUACAUUUCCGAGGUAGUUUCAACAAGUCGCUUUCCUCCAGCUAACUUACGGAGCGUCGCGCGGCGUUGAGAAUAUUGCAGACACCUUUUUGAUUUUUUUUUUACUUCAUUUGUCGUCUUUUCUUUUCUGGAAGAAGAACGAACAAAAAAAUGCUCGGGUACGUAUACUGUACCAUACCGGAAUAUGUCCUGAGAACUGGUAUCGUUGUCACGAAGAACUUUGUACCCCGGACUGCUGUGCAUUGCCGUGUAAUUUAUUGUACGGUGGGUGGCAGUAACCGAACACAAUACGACUCCGCUGACAACA